UAACGUUAUAGCUUGGCGGCACAUUUUUCAUUGCUUUCUGACCGGGAUUGUGUGGCCUGUAUGGGUGUUUGAGUCUAACGUCGUGAUGUGUGUCGGUACUCACAGCACUGCAGCUUGUAGAUGUCACGAGGCCCCGGCUGUGAGCUUGCUCUGGGAGCUGGGGGCGUGUCUGCUGCGGGCUCUGCACUCACCUGAAACCCAUCCGCAAUCAGAACACCUGCUCUGUGUCCCACAAUCAGCCACUGCCUAAAUAGGAGGCUCAGACAUCCAGUCCUCGCCGGAUCAUUGAAUCUCCACAUAAGACCUCCGCCGUCUCAGCAGACUACAAGCCAGUAAGCUCUCGGUGCCGUCCGCAGCCAGGACGCUUCCCGCUCCCGGAUUUCCCUUCUACCCCGAACCUGGGAGGGAGCCUCUGUCCUGAACCUCCGUCCUCCCGCGUACUCUCCCCUGAAUAAACUGUCUAAACUCUGAUCUGCGUUUGGGUCGUCUCUGCCUGAAAACUCUGCCAGUAGAAGUCAAAUUGUUUUAUUCUUAUGCCAUGCAUGUCAUGUUUUGCGUAAAUCAAUUGUAUUUAAAGGAUGACUUAAAAUGCUGUUUUAACUUGAGCAAAUCCCCAUCACAUAUAAAAAAAUGCAUUUAAAUCCA